GGUCUCCUGAAGGAACGUUGAAGACGACGACGUUGAUAGGCCGGGUGUGUAAGCGCAGCGAUGCGUUGAGCUAACCGGUACUAAUGAACCGUGAGGCUUAACCUU
rnacentral:rRNA from 1 species